UACAGCCAUAUUAUGUUGAAACGCUGGUUCCCGUAUGAUCACCGAAGUUAAGCAACGUCGAGAUUGGUCUGUACCAGAAUGGGUAACCGUUUGGGGAUAUCAGAUGCUG